AUUGAACGCUGGCGGCAGGCCUAACACAUGCAAGUCGAGCGGAGCGGCGGACGGGUGAGUAAUGCCUAGGAAUCUGCCUGGUAGUGGGGGAUAACGUCCGGAAACGGGCGCUAAUACCGCAUACUAUCAGAUGAGCCUAGGUCGGAUUAGCUAGGUGGUGGGUUAAAGGCCUACCAAGGCGACGAUCCGUAACUGGUCUGAGAGGAGGAACAUUCACCCUGGAACGAAGCCACGGUCCAGACUCUUACGGGUGGCAGCAGUGGGGAAUAUUGGACAAUGGGCGAAAGCCGGAUCCAGCCAUGCCGCGUGUGUGAAGAAGGUCUUCGGAUUGGAAAGCACUUUAAGUUGGGAGGCGUUACCAACAGAAUAAGCACCGGCUAACUUCGUGCCAGCCGCCGCGGUAAUAC
rnacentral:rRNA from 1 species